rnacentral:misc_RNA from 1 species
GAUGAAGAACGCAGCGAAAUGCGAUAAGUAAUGUGAAUUGCAGAGUUUUGUGAAUCAUCGAAUCUUUGAACGCACAUUGCGCCCACUGGUAUUCCGGUGGGCAUGCCUGUUCGAGCGUCAUUAUCCUCCCUCAAACCUCGGGUUUGGUGUUGGACCCAAGUUGUGUGAACAACUGGUCUUAAAGACAAUGACGGCGUCCGUGGGACCCUCGGUGCAACGAGCUUUUAGGAGCACGCGUCGAGUUUCAAGGACCUUCCGGGCCGGUCUCCUUUACCAUUUUACAAGGUUGACCUCGGAUCAGGUAGGAAUACCCGCUGAACUUAAGCAUAUCAAUAAGCGGAGGA